UUUCCGUAGGUGAACCUGCGGAAGGAUCAUUAUUGUAUAACCGAGGUGCGAGGGCUGUCGCUGACCCGAAAGGUCGUGCACGCCCUAGUGCCCUCACACACAUCCAUCUCACCCCUAUGUGCACCACCGCGUGGGUCCCCCUUUGGCUUGUUCGGAGGGGGGCUUACGUCUUCACACAAACUUUGUAUGCAGUGUAGAAUGUAUUUUUUGUUUUUGCGAUCACGCAAUCAAUACAACUUUCAACAACGGAUCUCUUGGCUCUC
rnacentral:misc_RNA from 1 species